CAUUCUCGACGGCAAGCGUUCUUUUCUAAGUACUAGUGCCGCAGGAGAGAUUCCACAUAAAACCCCUGCUGCCCAAGUGCUUAUCGAAGAGGAUUGUCAAUCAGCAAA
rnacentral:pre_miRNA from 1 species